rnacentral:tRNA from 1 species
UGGAUCACCUCCUAACAGGGAGACAACAAAAUGUUUAAUAUUAUUAUUUUGUCACCUUAGGUCGAUCGGUAUCUCACGUUCUUAAUUUAUUAAGAAUUUCAUUUCCUAAGUUUUUCUAGGUCACACCCAUUAUUUUUCCUGGGCCAUUAGCUCAGGUGGUUAGAGCGCACCCCUGAUAAGGGUGAGGUCCCUGGUUCAAGUCCAGGAUGGCCCAUAUCUCUAUGUUGGGGGUAUAGCUCAGUUGGUAGAGCGCCUGCUUUGCAAGCAGGAUGUCAGCGGUUCGAGUCCGCUUACCUCCACUGAUUACCACCUCUUCCAUAACUGGUAGAAAGGAAAAGUUUUGAGUUGUGAUCAUUAAUCUGAACGAAUCUAGCUUCCUAAUGAAAUCAUUAAGAUGCUGGACUCAUUGAAUUAAUUUCAUUGUUUUCAGAGAACCUUGACAACUGCAUAGAUUUUUUUAAAGACAAUAAGCAUCUUUAAUGAUGCAGAUUUAUUAUUUGUGCGAAUGCAUUAAUAACAAUUCUAUUAAGCUGAUGCUUCAAUUUUUGAAGUUAUUGGUCAAGCUACAAAGGGCUCACGGAGGAUACCUAGGCACACAGAGGCGAUGAAGG